GACGAACGCUGGCGGCGUGCUUAACACAUGCAAGUCGAACGGAAAGGCCCUGCUUUUGUGGGGUGCUCGAGUGGCGAACGGGUGAGUAACACGUGAGUAACCUGCCCUUGACUUUGGGAUAACUUCAGGAAACUGGGGCUAAUACCGGAUAGGAGCUCCUGCUGCAUGGUGGGGGUUGGAAAGUUUCGGCGGUUGGGGAUGGACUCGCGGCUUAUCAGCUUGUUGGUGGGGUAGUGGCUUACCAAGGCUUUGACGGGUAGCCGGCCUGAGAGGGUGACCGGCCACAUUGGGACUGAGAUACGGCCCAGACUCCUGCGGGAGGCAGCAGUGGGAAUAUUGCACAAUGGGCGGAAGCCUGAUGCAGCAACGCCGCGUGCGGGAUGACGGCCUUCGGGUUGUAAACCGCUUUCGCCUGUGACGAAGCGUGAGUGACGGUAAUGGGUAAAGAAGCACCGGCUAACUACGUG
rnacentral:rRNA from 1 species